rnacentral:rRNA from 1 species
UGAGCCCUACGGGGGGCAGCAGUGAGGAAUAUUGGUCAAUGGGCGGAAGCCUGAACCAGCCAAGUCGCGUGAGGGAAUAAGGCCCUACGGGUCGUAAACCUCUUUUGCCGGGGAGCAAGGGCCGGGACGAGUCCCGGUCCGGAGAGUACCCGGAGAAAAAGCAUCGGCUAACUCCGUGCCAGCAGCCGCGGUAAUACGGAGGAUGCGAGCGUUAUCCGGAUUUAUUGGGUUUAAAGGGUGCGUAGGCGGGCUUUUAAGUCAGCGGUAAAAAUUCGGGGUUCAACCCCCUCCGGCCGUUGAAACUG